rnacentral:SRP_RNA from 1 species
GUCUUGUGAACCCCGCCAGGCCGGGAACGGAGCAACGGUAGCAACGACAGCGUGUGUUGCGGGUAAGUCCGAAGUC